UACACACAAUGCUUUCUGGAUGUUAUUGCUUAACGGUCAAAUUUCUUUUGGGUGUCUUCAACGCGACUAGGGCUUUUCAACCCAAUUUCAAACACGUUCACAACUCUCUUAAGAAAAUGCUAUACGAAUUUAUAACAGAAAAACUAAAACAUUGUUUUGAGUAGCCCAAGGGCAAAAAAGUUUUCAUUUUGCCAUACCUAAAAAAUUGUCUUCUGCAAUCUUACGUUGUGGAAGAAUACUAGGAAUGUACACAAAAGGAUACCACAUUAGUUACUACCCUUAUAUUCGUUAUUAUAUUCAUUUUUUUAAUGAAAAUAAUGCAGAAGACAGGUGUUUUUUUCAACUUGCGUAGUGUUGAACAUCUCCUAAACUGAAUUUAUUUGCACGAGUUUUGAAAGUGAUAAUUGCCCGAGUGAAAUAGGCAAAUUCAUGAAAAAAAAAACACUUUCAACACGUGUUGUAAACGAAAUUUGUUUGCAUAUAGAUAACCCAUAAUUGAAUAAUAUUAUUGACACUAGCGAUUUACUGUCACUCAAAAAUUGAGCCAUGGAAACGCACAGUAAAAAUCGUAAAAAAAGUACCACUUUCCAUAGGAAUUUUUGACAAAAAAAGUCCGGUAAAUUGAUAACUGCAAAACUACAAUCUUAUUGCUAAAAUUAGGAGGUCAAUACCCCAAUCAAUUAAUUUUUAAGUUUGCUUUGUGGUUUGUUUGCCGUUUAUCUUAGUCUGGAAGUCAUGCAAUCCACAUCCUUUUUACCGCUCUAAGGUUAAUUAGUUAAUAAUUCUGUAGUUAUGUAACUUAUAGGGGGGAAUUGUAAUUAAAGGCAAACUGUCAUUUGACCAAAGGGCAGGGGGUGCAUUUAAUAACAUUCGAUUAAAAGCACAAGAUUUUAAGAAACAUUUAAUUAGAAAGAUAAAUACAUUUCCUCUUAUUUAGAUAACUCGUUUUGAGCAUCAUACUGAAACCUUACGAUUUCCUCUAGAAUUGGCACUUUCACUAUGAUAGCGUAUGUAAUGGAAGCGAAACCAUGACAAUAAAAUAACAUAAUUAAGGUAAAUUGUAAUGUAGGAUACGAAAGAGUAUUUGCAGGAGGAACCAAUGUGGCUCAGUGGCGCCCCAAUAGGUGCAAUUAAUAGAAUAUGAAUAGUGGGGAUGUAUCAUCUUUGACCUUCUGAGCUGGUGGUUCCUGUACCUACCUUUAUCAGAUCGAUAAUAGCGAACCACACGCGUUAAUUAGUUGCAUAAAUAUUUGAUUGACUUCGAACAGAGCAUAGUUUCCCUGUUACGUUCAACAGAUUAACAUGAAGAUAUCUACGUUAGCAAUUUUGCUUACCGUUUACCUGUUGUGCUUAAAUGUUGUAUCAGCAAUAAGUGGGCUACGCCAAAAUGAUCAAAAUGCGGUUGGCACAAAAUGCUUUAAAGGGUACCAAAAAGUUGGUGGGGUAUGCCGAAAAUUGGAGGGUAAAUGAGAAGAGGAUGGAGGUCCGACAACAUCAAGAAUAGUAUAAAUGGAAAAUUGCGAAAGUAAAAUUAUUGAUUUGUAGAAUUGUUCGUUUGGUUUCGAUGUACGCUUUUAAAUAAAAUCGCUAACGCUUUA